UACGUAGGGUGCGAGCGUUAAUCGGAAUUACUGGGCGUAAAGCGUGCGCAGGCGGUUUUGUAAGACAGAUGUGAAAUCCCCGGGCUUAACCUGGGAACUGCAUUUGUGACUGCAAGACUGGAGUACGGCAGAGGGGGGUAGAAUUCCACGUGUAGCAGUGAAAUGCGUAGAUAUGUGGAGGAAUACCGAUGGCGAAGGCGGUUACCUGGACAGUUACUGACGCUCAGGCACGAAAGCAUGGGGAGCAAAAGGG
rnacentral:rRNA from 1 species